UGUUCUUCCCUGACUUUUUUGGGCCCUUUUUUAAGCAGUCGGGUAGAAUAAAUGAUGAAUUUUACGAACGAAAUAGGUGUCUAGAAGUGUCUAGUCCGUUUUUCCCUGACUCCAUUUCAUUUUCCCUGACUUUUCCCUGACUUCCCUGACCGUUUUCAAAAUAACUGACUUUUCCAGGUUUUCAAGGUUUUCCAGGCUUGUGGCAACCCUGUUUACGGCGAAAACGCUCAUGAAAUUCCUCCGUCACUCUUACUCUGACCUGCCUCCUGCUUGGCUGCCUACAGAGACACAGUUCUCGCCACGUCUUUUAUCUGUCUUUUCGGGGUUCAUCGUGCGGUAUCACGCAUACUUCUCUCUCCACCCUGGCUAAAGCAGGAAACUGCGUUUUGGAAGGUCGUCGCAACUGGGCAGGAAAGCUUUAUCAGUGAGAUAUUCUCUCUUGACCUCCCGGCCUUUCAAGAGAGAAUAUCUCAAGAGAUGGUCUCUGAAGACUAUAAAAGGCAGAGGCAGUCGUCCAGAGACGCCAGUAUGCGUCUUGCCCCAGUUAAGCAAGAUUCAACCAACAACACCAUCAGCCAUCAGCUCAAGAAAUGAAGGUCCUCCUUCUCGCAGUAGUGCUUGGCACGGCAGGGUUGGUAAAAUCGGAAUGUUGCUUGUCAGAGACACUCCUGUUCGAUGCUGCAGGGACAGAUAAUUGCAAGGGUUACAGAAUGCAUUUUCUGCCUAGUGGACCAUUGGCGAUUCCCACUCAACCUAUUGCACGAAUGUGUGAAGUUGACGUUUGUGGAGAUGGCAAGCCACCAACAGGAACCUAUUGUGGAAAGGGCAAAUGCAUUUUGGGUUGCAAGUGUGACGGAGGAUGUAUUGAAGGGGACUUCCGC